GCGUGAAUGGUUUAGUGGUAAAAUUCUCCGUUGCCAUCCGCAACAGAUUCGGGGAGCCCUGGGUUCGAUUCCCAGUUCACGCA
rnacentral:tRNA from 3 species